UACAGAGGAUGCAAGCGUUAUCCGGAAUGAUUGGGCGUAAAGCGUCUGUAGGUGGCUUUUUAAGUCCGCCGUCAAAUCCCAGGGCUCAACUCUGGACAGGCGGUGGAAACUACCAAGCUGGAGUACGGUAGGGGCAGAGGGAAUUUCCGGUGGAGCGGUGAAAUGCGUAGAUAUCGGAAGGAACACCUGUGGCGAAAGCGGCUCACUGGACCAUUACUGACGCUGAGGCACGAAAGCUAGGGGAGCAAACAGG
rnacentral:rRNA from 1 species